AGUCGAACGAAACACCUUAUUUGAUUUUCUUCGGAACUGAAGAUUUGGUGAUUGAGUGGCGGACGGGUGAGUAACGCGUGGGUAACCUACCCUGUACAGGGGGAUAACAGUCAGAAAUGACUGCUAAUACCGCAUAAGACCACAGCACCGCAUGGUGCAGGGGUAAAAACUCCGGUGGUACAGGAUGGACCCGCGUCUGAUUAGCUGGUUGGUGAGGUAACGGCUCACCAAGGCGACGAUCAGUAGCCGGCUUGAGAGAGUGAACGGCCACAUUGGGACUGAGACACGGCCCAAACUCCUACGGGAGGCAGCAGUGGGGAAUAUUGCACAAUGGGGGAAACCCUGAUGCAGCGACGCCGCGUGAGUGAAGAAGCAUCUCGGUAUGUAAAGCUCUAUCAGCAGGGAAGAAAAUGACGGUACCUGACUAAGAAGCCCCGGCUAACUACGUGCCAGCAGCCGCGGUAAUACGUAGGGGGCAAGCGUUAUCCGGAAUUACUGGGUGUAAAGGGUGCGUAGGUGGUAUGGCAAGUCAGAAGUGAAAACCCAGGGCUUAACUCUGGGACUGCUUUUGAAACUGUCAGACUGGAGUGCAGGAGAGGUAAGCGGAAUUCCUAGUGUAGCGGUGAAAUGCGUAGAUAUUAGGAGGAACAUCAGUGGCGAAGGCGGCUUACUGGA
rnacentral:rRNA from 1 species